CAGACUAAAUAAAAUUUCAUUUUGAUUUGGCCUCCCGCUGAGAAUGGGACUGCUUUGUUUCAGCCGACAGAACCAGCAAGCCAGAAAGGUGUUGAAUACACAAAUACUGACUUAAUGGACAAUUAUGACUUUAGGACUCCAGGGCAACUACUGAGGGAUAAUAUUACCAGGGUCAUUGUGGUAGAGGAAAUAUUUUUAUAUGGGCGUCAGGAAACGGUGGUCUGGCUAGUGACUGCAGUGGUGUGGAUGGUUACAUGA
rnacentral:lncRNA from 1 species